AGUGAACGCUGGCGGUAGGCCUAACACAUGCAAGUCGAACGGCCGCACAGUAAGAGCUUGCUCUUACGGGUGGCGAGUGGCGGACGGGUGAGGAAUACAUCGGAAUCUACUUUUUCGUGGGGGAUAACGUAGGGAAACUUACGCUAAUACCGCAUACGACCUACGGGUGAAAGCAGGGGAUCUUCGGACCUUGCGCGAUUGUAUGAGCCGAUGUCGGAUUAGCUAGUUGGCGAGGUAAAGGCCCACCAAGGCGACGAUCCGUAGCUGGUCUGAGAGGAUGAUCAGCCACACUGGAACUGAGACACGGUCCAGACUCCUACGGGAGGCAGCAGUGGGGAAUAUUGGACAAUGGGCGCAAGCCUGAUCCAGCCAUACCGCGUGGGUGAAGAAGGCCUUCGGGUUGUAAAGCCCUUUUGUUGGGAAAGAAAAGCAGCAGGUUAAUACCCCGCUGUUCUGACGGUACCCAAAGAAUAAGCACCGGCUAACUUCGUG
rnacentral:rRNA from 1 species